CAGUAGCCGCGGUAAUACGAAGGGGGCUAGCGUUGUUCGGAAUUACUGGGCGUAAAGCGCACGUAGGCGGACAUUUAAGUCAGGGGUGAAAUCCCGGGGCUCAACCCGGGAACUGCAUUUGAAACUGGCAGGCUGGAGUCUUGUAGAGGGGGGUAGAAUUCCAGGUGUAGCGGUGAAAUGCGUAGAGAUCUGGAGGAAUACCGAUGGCGAAGGCAGCCAUCUGGCCUAAUACUGACGCUGAGGUACGAAAGCAUGGGGAGCAAACAGGAUUAGAUACCCGUGUAGUCCCUGUCUCUUAUAC
rnacentral:rRNA from 1 species